AUACCGGUCGCGGACACAGAGAUGUGUCUUUCAGUUCGGCUGGACCGGACACAGGUGCUGCAUGGCUGUCGUCAGCUCGUGUCGUGAGAUGUUGGGUUAAGUCCCGCAACGAGCGCAACCCUCGCCCUUAGUUGCCAGCAUUUAGUUGGGCACGUCUAAGGGGACGUGCCGGUGAUAAGCCGAGAGGAAGGUGGGGAUGACGUCAAGUCCUCAUGGCCCUUACGGGCUGGGCUACACACGUGCUACAAUGGUGGUGACAGUGGGCAGCGAGCACGCGAGUGUGAGCUAAUCUCCAAAAGCCAAUCUCAGUUCGGAUUGCACUCUGCAACUCGAGUGCAUGAAGUUGGAAUCGCUAGUAAUCGCGGAUCAGCAUGCCGCGGUGAAUCGUUCCCCGGGGCCUUU
rnacentral:rRNA from 1 species